rnacentral:lncRNA from 13 species
GAAGAUUCUAGGUGAUAAAUGAACGUCUUCAUUACUUUAGCUCUUCUCCUGCCACGUGAGACCUGUUCUCCUUUCACCUUCGACCAUAACUGGAAGCUUCCUGAGUCCUCCCCAGAAGCAGAAGCAGAAGCAGAAGCAGAUGCCAGUGCCAUGCUUCCUGUACAGUCUGCUGAACCAUGAGUAAAUUAAAUCU